rnacentral:rRNA from 1 species
AACGCGAAGAACCUUACCAGGUCUUGACAUCGAUGUAAACCCAUAGAGAUAUGGGGUGGCUUCGGCCGACAGAAGACAGGUGGUGCAUGGUUGUCGUCAGCUCGUGUCGUGAGAUGUUGGGUUAAGUCCCGCAACGAGCGCAACCCUUAUUGUCAGUUACUAACGGGUAGAGCCGAGGACUCUGACGAGACUGCCGGGGACAACUCGGAGGAAGGUGGGGACGACGUCAAAUCAUCAUGCCCCUUAUGACCUGGGCUACACACGUGCUACAAUGGUGGCAACAAAGAGGAGCGAGCCCGUAAGGGGAAGCGGAUCUCAAAAAAGCCGUCUCAGUUCGGAUUGUGGGCUGCAACCCGCCCACAUGAAGUCGGAGUUGCUAGUAAUCGCGAAUCAUCAUGUCGCGGUGAAUACGUUCCCGGGUCUUGUACACACCG